rnacentral:rRNA from 1 species
UACGAAGGGGGCUAGCGUUGCUCGGAAUCACUGGGCGUAAAGCGCACGUAGGCGGAUUGCUAAGUCAGGGGUGAAGUCCUGGAGCUCAACUCCAGAACUGCCUUUGAUACUGGCAACCUUGAGUCCGGGAGAGGUGAGUGGAACUGCGAGUGUAGAGGUGAAAUUCGUAGAUAUUCGCAAGAACACCAGUGGCGAAGGCGGCUCACUGGCCCGAUACUGGCGCUGAGGCACGAAGGCGUGGGGAGCAAACAGG